AGAGGUGGCGAGCGUUGUUCGGAUUUACUGGGCGUAAAGGGUGCGUAGGUGGUUUCCUAUGUCGGGUGUGAAAUGCCACUGCUCAACGGUGGAAUGGCGCCCGAAACUGGGAAGCUAGAGUGCAGGAGAGGAGAGCGGAAUUCUUGGUGUAGCGGUGAAAUGCGUUGAUAUCAAGAAGAACACCGGCGGCGAAGGCGGCUCUCUGGAAUGCAUCUGACACUGAGGCACGAAAGCUUGGGGGAGCAAACAGGAUUAGAUCCCUUGGUAGUCCCAGCCCUAAACGGUGUGCACUUUGGUGUAGGGGGAAUUAACCCCCCCUGUGCCGGAGCGAACGCGUUAAGUGCACCGCCUGGGGAGUACGGCCGCAAGGCUA
rnacentral:rRNA from 1 species